ACUCCUGCAUCUCCCGAGUUCCUUUCCCUCCUGCUCCCGGCGGGCGGCAACCUCUCGCUGGCGCUCAACUUUGGGGAGUUUCAAGCAGCCGCGGCGGCAGCGGCCACCCCGGGCGCAGGAAACGUCUCGGUCGGCUCCGAGUCAACCCCUGAGAUACCCCAGCUGAAGCUUUCAGAUACCAUAGGAAGUAUUGAAAACCAUAGAUCUACCUGAAUACUCCGCUAGAUAAGAAAAGAAAAAUAAUUCCACUCAAAACACCUACUGAAACAAGAGAGAGAAAGAGAGCACAAGCAGGGGGAGUGGCAGGGAGAGGGAGAAGCAGGCUCCCACUGAGCAAAGAGCCCGACGUGGGGCUCCAUCCCGGGACUCCAGGAUCAUGACCUGAGCCGAAGACAGACACUCAACUGACUGAGCCACCCAGGAGCCCCUCAUUUCCAGUGUUAUCCAACACCCUGAUUGUGUUGACUCCAUUGUCAGGUUUUGCUUCAUGUUUACAUAAAAAAUGAGGAGGUCAUGGUGAAAGCAGGUGUCUUGGACUUUACAUGGAGAGUCAUUUGCAUCAAGGACAACUAACAACAGUGGAAACAUGGCAAUUUUUCCAAUGCCUUUGUUUUUUUAAUAAAACAAUAACUGGCUGCCAGUACUCAUAUUAAUAAAUAGUAAAUCACCCCUUCCCUUCUCAUGAACUCUCUUAUUUGCCAAUGAGCUUCUUCUAAACACGUCAGUUAAGAUGGAGCCUUGAUGUAUUUAAGUGGCUAUGCAUAAACAUAGUUAUGGAGCAAAAAAAUAACCAUGCCAUAAACACAUUGCAAUAAUUAAUUUUUAUUCCUGUGUGUACUUAAUCCUGUAGUCUGGACCUUUGAUACAGUUCAUUCAAAAUAAAAAUAAGGCCCUAAUAUAAUCUUAGUAAGACCUUUUCCUCUGAAAUAAAUGUCCCUGUGUAAAUGUCCUCAUGCUAUGGAGGAAUUAAAUGGCUUACAGUUGGAUUUAUAGUUCAAACUUGAAAGCCCUCUUUCUAUUAUCAAUGAAACAGUACAUCACACCCAGCAUGGCCUAUAUGAAAUCGUGAGGCUAAGGGGUGGGCUUCUGAGGCUAGGUUAGCCAUUGUGCUGUACCAUGAGUCAAUUUUCAGAUGGCUCUAAGUAUACUUCUUAAACCUACCCAAGACCUAAGAAACUGUGCUGGUCAGUUAGGAGGGAGAUUGAAGGGGACACAGCACACAACUCAGCCCAAAUGCAUCACUGUUCCUGGAAUAAAACCCAAAUCAUGACCUUCUGAGGCUGGCAAGUACCAUCCACUUAAUGCUGAACAACAGGUAUCCCUACCAAAGGAGAACGGACACCCAGCUGGUACACCAUCAACAUGGGCGCAAUUUAGAAGUUAGCUCUUUUUGAGAGAGGGAGGCAAACCACGGGAGACUCUUAACUAUAGAGAACAAA